rnacentral:rRNA from 1 species
UGGGCCCUCUAGAUGCAUGCUCGAGCGGCCGCCAGUGUGAUGGAUAUCUGCAGAAUUCGCCCUUAGAGUUUGAUCAUGGCUCAGGAUGAACGCUAGCGGCAGGCCUAAUACAUGCAAGUCGAACGAUAUCAAUGGGCUUGCUCAUUGGAAAAGUGGCGCACGGGUGCGUAACGCGUAUGAAACCUACCUUUAUCUGGGGGAUAGCCUUUCGAAAGAAAGAUUAACACCGCAUAACAUCACGAAAGGGCAUCCUUUUUUGAUCAAAUAUUUAUAGGAUAAAGAUGGUCAUGCGUGACAUUAGCUAGUUGGAGAGGUAAUGGCUCACCAAGGCGACGAUGUCUAGGGGAUCUGAGAGGAUGACCCCCCACACUGGUACUGAGACACGGACCAGACUCCUACGGGAGGCAGCAGUAAGGAAUAUUGGUCAAUGGGCGCAAGCCUGAACCAGCCAUGCCGCGUGCAGGAAGACGGCCCUACGGGUUGUAAACUGCUUUUAUUCGUGAAUAAAUCACCUUACGUGUAAGGUGUUGAAAGUAGCGAAAGAAUAAGGAUCGGCUAACUCCGUGCCAGCAGCCGCGGUAAUACGGAGGAUCCAAGCGUUAUCCGGAUUUAUUGGGUUUAAAGGGUGCGUAGGCGGAUUAUUAAGUCAGAGGUGAAAUUUUGCGGCUCAACCGUAAGCUUGCCUUUGAUACUGAUAAUCUUGAAUUAACUUGAGGUAGGCGGAAUGUGACAAGCAGCGGUGAAAUGCAUAGAUAUGUCACAGAACACCAAUUGCGAAAGGCAGCUUACUAAGGUUAUAUUGACGCUGAGGCACGAAAGCGUGGGGAUCAAACAGGAUUAGAUACCCUGGUAGUCCACGCCCUAAACGAUGAAUACUCGAUGUUAGCGAUAUACAGUUAGCGUCAAAGCGAAAGCGUUAAGUAUUCCACCUGGGGAGUACGCCCGCAAGGGUGAAACUCAAAGGAAUUGACGGGGGCCCGCACAAGCGGAGGAGCAUGUGGUUUAAUUCGAUGAUACGCGAGGAACCUUACCCGGGCUUGAAAGUUACUGAAUGAUUCAGAGAUGAAUCAGUCCGCAAGGACAGGAAACUAGGUGCUGCAUGGCUGUCGUCAGCUCGUGCCGUGAGGUGUUGGGUUAAGUCCCGCAACGAGCGCAACCCCUAUGUUUAGUUGCCAGCACGUCAAGGUGGGGACUCUAAACAGACUGCCUGUGCAAACAGAGAGGAAGGAGGGGACGACGUCAAGUCAUCAUGGCCCUUACGUCCGGGGCUACACACGUGCUACAAUGGGCAGUACAGAGGGCAGCUACUUGGUAACAAGAUGCUAAUCUCAAAAAGCUGUUCACAGUUCGGAUUGAGGUCUGCAACUCGACCUCAUGAAGUUGGAUUCGCUAGUAAUCGCAGAUCAGCAAUGCUGCGGUGAAUACGUUCCCGGGCCUUGUACACACCGCCCGUCAAGCCAUGGAAGCUGGGGGUACCUGAAGUAUGCAACCGCAAGGAGCGUCCUAGGGUAAAACUAGUAACUGGGGCUAAGUCGUAACAAGGUA